AGGUUUUGUAAAACGCGCAGUCAGCGCCUGAGUAGUUCCAGCCCCUCACCGUAACGUCACCGCCAUCGGCGACGCUGUGGUGGCUUUGUAUGAGACAUUUGGCUACUUUUUGCAUCAAAGAGGUGUUCCAGGAGUGAAACUUCUUCUGUUGCUAUAUGCUGUGUCAGCACUGGGAGGCUCCACUGAUUCUCUGUGCUGAUGUAAGUGAAGCAGCAGAAACUGUUUACAGAGAGAAGACUACAAAAAUGCUAUGAAAGUGCUACAAGUGGAUGGGAUGUGUCAUGAAACACAAGGGCAUGAUAUGAACUUCUCAGUGGAGAGAAGAAAGCACUGGGAUUGUAUUUAUUAUUUCACAGUCAGAGGUUGACAAGAAAAGUCUAAAGGCACUCUAGACAUGUUUCUGAUACGGACUUUUUGGCAAAGCUCCAUAACUUUGCCUCAGAGUUUCUAUGGCAGCUCAGGAACCCUCUAUCCACAAAUGUAAGUUCUCUUUGGUACUUUGUAUUGUAUGUAUUAACUACAAACUCUGUUUUAUAUUCUGAGUAUUAAUUUGGUUACGUGAAAGGAUUACACAUUCAGUUUUACUGAAGUAGGUUGGGUUUGCCGGGAGAAUUUUUGUGUCUUGCAGAAAAGCGCUGGUGAAAGUUUGUUAGGCCUUGAUGAUUAAUUUUAC
rnacentral:lncRNA from 1 species